AGAAUAAGCACCGGCUAACUACGUGCCAGCAGCCGCGGUAAUACGUAGGGUGCAAGCGUUAAUCGGAAUUACUGGGCGUAAAGCGUGCGCAGGCGGUUUUGUAAGUCUGAUGUGAAAUCCCCGGGCUCAACCUGGGAAUUGCAUUGGAGACUGCAAGGCUAGAAUCUGGCAGAGGGGGGUAGAAUUCCACGUGUAGCAGUGAAAUGCGUAGAUAUGUGGAGGAAAACCGAUGGCGAAGGCAGCCCCCUGGGUCAAGUUUGACGCUCAUGCACGAAAGCGUGGGGAGCAAACAGGAUUAGAUCCCCUGGUAGUCCACGCCCUAAAC
rnacentral:rRNA from 1 species